UGGUAGGGUAAUAGCCUACCAAGGCGAUGAUAGGUAGCCGGCCUGAGAGGGUGAUCGGCCACACUGGGACUGAGAUACGGCCCAGACUCCUACGGGAGGCAGCAGCUGAGAAUAUUCCGCAAUGGGGGAAACCCUGACGGAGCAAUCUCGCAUGGACGAUGAAGGCUUUCGAGUUGUAAAGUCCUUUCGGCAGGAAAGAAUAAUACAGUAAGGAAAUGUGCUGUAGAUGACGGUACCUGCAAAAGAAGCCCCGGCUAACUACGUGCCAGCAGCCGCGGUAAUACGUAGGGGGCGAACGUUGUUCGGAAUCACUGGGCGUAAAGGGUGCGUAGGCGGCUCAUCAAGUCAGUUGCGAAAUUUCGUGGCUCAACCACGAAGCUGCUGCUGAUACUGUUGGGCUAGAGUCAUAGAUAGAGGUAGCGGGAAUUCCUGGUGUAGGAGUGAAAUCUGUAGAUAUCAGGAGGAACACCAAGGGUGAAGACAAGCUACUGGGUAAUGACUGACGCUGAGGCACGAAAGCUAGGGGAGCAAAUGGGAUUAGAGACCCCAGUAGUCCUAGCCGUAAACACUGUACACUAGCUUUAAAGGGAUGACGAAAGUCUUCUUUUGAAACGUAGCUAACGCAUUAAGUGUACCGCCUGGGUAGUAUGCACGCAAGUGUGAAACUCAAAGGAAUUGACGG
rnacentral:rRNA from 1 species